UCUACCCUUGAAUCGGGGAUAACAUUGCGAAAGCGAUGCUAAUACCGGAUGAUAUCACAAAAGCUUCGGCUUUAAUGAUCAAAGAUGACCUCUACCUGUAAGUUGUUGUUUGAGGAGGAGUCCGCGUACCAUUAGCUUGUUGGUAGGGUAACGGCCUACCAAGGCCACGAUGGUUAGCUGGUCUGAGAGGAUGAUCAGCCACACUGGAACUGACACACGGUCCAG
rnacentral:rRNA from 1 species